GGCCUGCUUAAGUUCAGACGAGAUAGAAAUACGGCCAGAUGCUCCACUUUCCCCUUGCAUUAUUGUGGCUUGAGAUGCCAUUUGAGCUCCAGAAGAAUAGCUGCUGCUCCUUGAUGGAUACGUUGUGGCAACUGCACCAGAGUUCAAGGUCGCCUUCUGCAUGCUGUUUGCCAGCUACUUUUCAUUCCACAUUUGCUACGCUCAAGAAGUCUCAUCUACGCUCACGUUCAACCGGAGGGCCCUUCUCGGCAUCAAUCUUGGCCGUGGCAGCAAGGCCAAGAAAGGGAGAAGGCAAGUGAACAAUCGAGUGCUCAACCUAUUUCAACGAAUAACGGAGUCUCAGUAGGACA